UUAAGCGACUAAGCGUACACGGUGGAUGCCCUGGCAGUCAGAGGCGAUGAAGGACGUGCUAAUCUGCGAAAAGCGCCGGCGAGGUGAUAUGAACCUUUGACCCGGCGAUGUCCGAAUGGGGAAACCCAGUGUGUUCCGACACACUAUCGUUAACUGAAUACAUAGGUUAACGAGGCGAACCGGGGGAACUGAAACAUCUAAGUACCCCGAGGAAAAGAAAUCAACCGAGAUUCCCCCAGUAGCGGCGAGCGAACGGGGAGCAGCCCAGAGUCUGAAUCAGCUUGUGUGUUAGUGGAAGCGUCUGGAAAGUCGCACGGUACAGGGUGACAGUCCCGUACACGAAAGCACACAGGUUGUGAACUCGAAGAGUAGGGCGGGACACGUGGUAUCCUGUCUGAAUAUGGGGGGACCAUCCUCCAAGGCUAAAUACUCCUGACUGACCGAUAGUGAACCAGUACCGUGAGGGAAAGGCGAAAAGAACCCCGGCGAGGGGAGUGAAAAAGAACCUGAAACCGUGUACGUACAAGCAGUGGGAGCACCUUCGGGUGUGACUGCGUACCUUUUGUAUAAUGGGUCAGCGACUUAUAUUCUGUAGCAAGGUUAACCGUAUAGGGGAGCCGAAGGGAAACCGAGUCUUAACUGGGCGUUAAGUUGCAGGGUAUAGACCCGAAACCCGGUGAUCUAGCCAUGGGCAGGUUGAAGGUUGGGUAACACUAACUGGAGGACCGAACCGACUAAUGUUGAAAAAUUAGCGGAUGACUUGUGGCUGGGGGUGAAAGGCCAAUCAAACCGGGAGAUAGCUGGUUCUCCCCGAAAGCUAUUUAGGUAGCGCCUCGUGAACUCAUCUUCGGGGGUAGAGCACUGUUUCGGCUAGGGGGCCAUCCCGGCUUACCAACCCGAUGCAAACUACGAAUACCGAAGAAUGUUAUCACGGGAGACACACGGCGGGUGCUAACGUCCGUCGUGAAGAGGGAAACAACCCAGACCGCCAGCUAAGGUCCCAAAGUCAUGGUUAAGUGGGAAACGAUGUGGGAAGGCACAGACAGCCAGGAUGUUGGCUUAGAAGCAGCCAUCAUUUAAAGAAAGCGUAAUAGCUCACUGGUCGAGUCGGCCUGCGCGGAAGAUGUAACGGGGCUAAACCAUGCACCGAAGCUGCGGCAGCGACACUAUGUGUUGUUGGGUAGGGGAGCGUUCUGUAAGCCGUUGAAGGUGGCCUGUGAGGGUUGCUGGAGGUAUCAGAAGUGCGAAUGCUGACAUAAGUAACGAUAAAGCGGGUGAAAAGCCCGCUCGCCGGAAGACCAAGGGUUCCUGUCCAACGUUAAUCGGGGCAGGGUGAGUCGACCCCUAAGGCGAGGCCGAAAGGCGUAGUCGAUGGGAAACAGGUUAAUAUUCCUGUACUUGGUGUUACUGCGAAGGGGGGACGGAGAAGGCUAUGUUAGCCGGGCGACGGUUGUCCCGGUUUAAGCAUGUAGGCGGAACGAUUAGGUAAAUCCGGUCGUUUUUUAACGCUGAGGUGUGAUGACGAGGCACUACGGUGCUGAAGUAACAAAUGCCCUGCUUCCAGGAAAAGCCUCUAAGCAUCAGGUAACAUCAAAUCGUACCCCAAACCGACACAGGUGGUCAGGUAGAGAAUACCAAGGCGCUUGAGAGAACUCGGGUGAAGGAACUAGGCAAAAUGGUGCCGUAACUUCGGGAGAAGGCACGCUGAUAUGUAGGUGAAGCCCCUGCGGGUGGAGCUGAAAUCAGUCGAAGAUACCAGCUGGCUGCAACUGUUUAUUAAAAACACAGCACUGUGCAAACACGAAAGUGGACGUAUACGGUGUGACGCCUGCCCGGUGCCGGAAGGUUAAUUGAUGGGGUUAGCGGCAACGCGAAGCUCUUGAUCGAAGCCCCGGUAAACGGCGGCCGUAACUAUAACGGUCCUAAGGUAGCGAAAUUCCUUGUCGGGU
rnacentral:rRNA from 1 species